ACGAGGUCUGCCUGCUGCUCUAGGUGCAACACCGGAACCUUGUCUCCCUGCUCGGCUGCUGCGCGGCUACCGGUGACAAGAUGCUCGUCUACCCAUUAUUCUCCGACGACACAGCGUCGACCAAACCACAUCCUCUUCGGGAGCAAUUACAAAGAGGAUGACAGCAAUUGAGGAGCUGGCUGGCAUGGAUGUUCUUUACAGUGAGAAGACAGGGACACCUAGCACUAACCUUGAACAAGUUGAUUGUGGACAAGAAUCUUAUAGAGGUUAGGCUUCUGAUAUUAACUGAAAAUCAGGUUGAUAUAGAUGCCACGAUGGUCGGUGUGCUUGCAGUUCCCAAGGAAGUAUAUUCAACAUCAUUAAUGUUUGUGAUAUAUAUUGAAAACUAAUUUCAGGCACUAAUUCGAAAACUGCUACUAAUGGGUUAGUCAUAUGGGGGUGGUCACAAAAGGAGAAUCGAGCUACUCGUAAUUAUCUUUCUAAUGGAUUUCAUAUUGCAUAAUUCUGAUGAAUGGCUUGCAAGUUAUUGCUGAAAUAGUGUUACUGUUCUAGGAGCACUAGCUGGAGCAUAUUUUCCUUUUCACCUAUUCUUGGUCCCUCAUCAUCUUCCUCAAUUUGUUUUUAAUUUUGCCCUGAAGGCAAGCUUGUCAGGCCUCUCAGGCUGUCUUUUUGUUGUCAGCAAGUGAAGAUGAUACCAAUAAGAGCAGGCACAGUUUCUUUCCUUUUUCUUUA